UACAGAGGGGGCAAGCGUUAUUCGGAAUUAUUGGGCGUAAAGCGCGCGUAGGUGGCUUCAUAAGUCCGUUGUGAAAGUCAAAGGCUCAACCUUUGAAAGCCGAUGGAUACUGUGAAGCUAGAGUACGGAAGAGGCGAGUGGAAUUCCUGGUGUAGCGGUGGAAUGCGCAGAUAUCAGGAGGAACACCAAUAGCGAAGGCAGCUCGCUGGGACGUUACUGACACUGAGGCGCGAAAGCGUGGGGAGCGAACAGG
rnacentral:rRNA from 1 species